AUGAACUGCCUCCCAAAAAUGAACCAGGCACAAUUUAGAGAUGUGCUAAACUGGGGUAUGUGGAAGGAGAGGCAGCGCGUGAGGAAUUAUGAAUGGACUGGAAGCUCAUUGUGUCUGGCUGUCCUGAGUGCGGUACUGCAGACGCUCAGCAGAGGCUGCUGUUCUCCCAUUGAUAAAACUGAUGAAAGUCGUUCCAUUUUUUCUGCACAGACCUCCUGGAACCCCUGACGACCCCAAUUAUACUGCCGCCCAUUUAGGGGCGUAAUGACUCUGGUCUUCCUGUUCGGCCAGAUGGGCCAAAGUUAAGAGUUGAGACAGAACUCCCACUGGAUCAACUUUUCUUCCCUCUUACCCUCCUGACUGGUGUCCUCAAACUUGGACUAGGUGCCUACAAGUUCACCCCUUCCAGUGGAUCACCACUCAAUCCAAAAUGCAAUUGCUAGAAGGACAAAAAACACACUAAGUAUAACAUAUUCCACAUACAGUUUUUGUAGCUGCAGUUGUCUGACUGCGUCUCUUCUAGAGUUAACACACUGUGAGUGGAACCAUCCUGGCAUCAACAAUUUCAAACAGCUUCAACUGGUACUCUGACAUUACUCCAUACUGCUUUCUAUAUAACAAUUCAACAGGACAGGUUUAGGAAACAGCCAGCAAUUUUGCAAAGCACACUUAAAUCCUGGACUUUACACAUAUGUCUACUAUAAUCCUGAUUCUGGGUAAUGAUAUUCAUUACGAACUAUAACUGACAAACAUAUUUUGCUUCAUGUCAAAAACCGAGGCCAACCGUGAUUUGCUGAUAUGAAACUGUGAUACAAAUCAAAGACUGUUAGCCAUAUGCCUUUUGUUAGCUCUGUGUGCUCUAUAUUGCUAAGAUGUGAAACACACACCUAUGUUCGUGUGCUGGUUGCAGCAGUUCUCCUGACCUAAACACAUGAAGAACAAUACAGAGGCAUGUACGUACACACAGACACAUACACGCACAACCAUGUAUACUCGUGUCUGUGAAUGGCUCUCUUUUAUCCCAGAGUGCACUGUUUUCUUUUGGGAUUGAGCAGAAUAAUGUCAGGGGAAGGCUGUUUGCCAGUAUUUGUUCUGUGUUAUUCUGUGCUGUCUUAAACAUGACCCAUAUAAAGAGAUUAUGAGUUGUACUGUCUUUAUUUGCGAGGAGGCACAGUCUGUUUUCACUCAAUUACUGAGAGAAGGGUACUCAUUUAUGUCUGGGAGAAUAUCUAGGUCCAAUUACAGACCUUAUUACCUUAUUGUGGAUGUUUCUGUACAGUUAAUCCACUGCUAACAUUCACUCAGAUAUGGUGUUGUUUAGAGUAAGUAACCUAUUCAAUUUGUAUUUCUCUAUUUGACAGGAUGAAGGUGAAAUAGGGGCAGAUCAAAACACAUUACAUAGUUUACAGUAGGGCACUACAUCAAGUGAUUGCAGUACUGUUACAAUAUAAAAAUGUGAUCUAUGAUUAAAUACAAAUAGUGACAUUUUAAUGCUUUCAUUCAAUGUUGCUGCAACAUCACC
rnacentral:lncRNA from 1 species